rnacentral:rRNA from 1 species
GGGUUGUGAGGUUAAGCGACCAAGCGUACACGGUGGAUGCCCUGGCAGUCAGAGGCGAUGAAGGACGUGCUAAUCUGCGAAAAGCGCCGGUAAGGUGAUAUGAACCGUUAUAACCGGCGAUGUCCGAAUGGGGAAACCCAGUGUGACUCGUCACACUAUCAUUAACUGAAUCCAUAGGUUAAUGAGGCGAACCGGGGGAACUGAAACAUCUAAGUACCCCGAGGAAAAGAAAUCAACCGAGAUUCCCCCAGUAGCGGCGAGCGAACGGGGAGGAGCCCAGAGCCUGAAUCAGCAUGUGUGUUAGUGGAAGCGUCUGGAAAGGCGCGCGAUACAGGGUGACAGCCCCGUACACAAAAGCGCAUGUGCUGUGAGCUCGAUGAGUAGGGCGGGACACGUGGUAUCCUGUCUGAAUAUGGGGGGACCAUCCUCCAAGGCUAAAUACUCCUGACUGACCGAUAGUGAACCAGUACCGUGAGGGAAAGGCGAAAAGAACCCCGGCGAGGGGAGUGAAACAGAACCUGAAACCGUGUACGUACAAGCAGUGGGAGCAUGAGUUUACUCAUGUGACUGCGUACCUUUUGUAUAAUGGGUCAGCGACUUAUAUUCUGUAGCAAGGUUAACCGAAUAGGGGAGCCGGAGGGAAACCGAGUCUUAAUUGGGCGUUAAGUUGCAGGGUAUAGACCCGAAACCCGGUGAUCUAGCCAUGGGCAGGUUGAAGGUUGGGUAACACUAACUGGAGGACCGAACCGACUAAUGUUGAAAAAUUAGCGGAUGACCUGUGGCUGGGGGUGAAAGGCCAAUCAAACCGGGAGAUAGCUGGUUCUCCCCGAAAGCUAUUUAGGUAGCGCCUCGUGAAUUCAUCUCCGGGGGUAGAGCACUGUUUCGGCCAGGGGGCCAUCCCGGCUUACCAACCCGAUGCAAACUGCGAAUACCGGAGAAUGUUAUCACGGGAGACACACGGCGGGUGCUAACGUCCGUCGUGAAGAGGGAAACAACCCAGACCGCCAGCUAAGGUCCCAAAGUCAUGGUUAAGUGGGAAACGAUGUGGGAAGGCCCAGACAGCCAGGAUGUUGGCUUAGAAGCAGCCAUCAUUUAAAGAAAGCGUAAUAGCUCACUGGUCGAGUCGGCCUGCGCGGAAGAUGUAACGGGGCUAAACCAUGCACCGAAGCUGCGGCAGCGACACUGUGUGUUGUUGGGUAGGGGAGCGUUCUGUAAGCCUGCGAAGGUGUGCUGUGAGGCAUGCUGGAGGUAUCAGAAGUGCGAAUGCUGACAUAAGUAACGAUAAUGCGGGUGAAAAACCCGCACGCCGGAAGACCAAGGGUUCCUGUCCAACGUUAAUCGGGGCAGGGUGAGUCGACCCCUAAGGCGAGGCCGAAAGGCGUAGUCGAUGGGAAACAGGUUAAUAUUCCUGUACCUGGUGUUACUGCGAAGGGGGGACGGAGAAGGCUAUGUUGGCCGGGCGACGGUUGUCCCGGUUUAAGCGUGUAGGCUGGUUUUCCAGGCAAAUCCGGAAAAUCAAGGCUGAGGCGUGAUGACGAGGCACUACGGUGCUGAAGCAACAAAUGCCCUGCUUCCAGGAAAAGCCUCUAAGCCUCAGGUAACAUCAGAUCGUACCCGAAACCGACACAGGUGGUCAGGUAGAGAAUACCAAGGCGCUUGAGAGAACCCGGGUGAAGGAACUAGGCAAAAUGGUGCCGUAACUUCGGGAGAAGGCACGCUGACACGUAGGUGAAGCGGUUUACCCGUGAAGCUGAAGUCAGUCGAAGAUACCAGCUGGCUGCAACUGUUUAUUAAAAACACAGCACUGUGCAAACACGAAAGUGGACGUAUACGGUGUGACGCCUGCCCGGUGCCGGAAGGUUAAUUGAUGGGGUCAGCGCAAGCGAAGCUCCUGAUCGAAGCCCCGGUAAACGGCGGCCGUAACUAUAACGGUCCUAAGGUAGCGAAAUUCCUUGUCGGGUAAGUUCCGACCUGCACGAAUGGCGUAAUGAUGGCCAGGCUGUCUCCACCCGGGACUCAGUGAAAUUGAACUCGCUGUGAAGAUGCAGUGUACCCGCGGCAAGACGGAAAGACCCCGUGAACCUUUACUAUAGCUUGACACUGAACACUGGUCCUUGAUGUGCAGGAUAGGUGGGAGGCUUUGAAGUGUGGACGCCAGUCUGCAUGGAGCCGUCCUUGAAAUACCACCCUUUAAUGGCUGGUGUUCUAACGUAGACCCGUGAACCGGGUUGCGGACAGUGUCUGGUGGGUAGUUUGACUGGGGCGGUCUCCUCCUAAAGCGUAACGGAGGAGCACGAAGGUUGGCUAAUCCUGGUCGGACAUCAGGAGGUUAGUGCAAUGGCAUAAGCCAGCUUGACUGCGAGCGUGACGGCGCGAGCAGGUGCGAAAGCAGGUCAUAGUGAUCCGGUGGUUCUGAAUGGAAGGGCCAUCGCUCAACGGAUAAAAGGUACUCCGGGGAUAACAGGCUGAUACCGCCCAAGAGUUCAUAUCGACGGCGGU